AGCUUUGCGCAGUGGCAGUAUCGUAGCCUAUGAGGUUUAUCCGAGGCGCGAUUAUUGCUAGUUGAAAACUUUACCCAAUACCCCGUCUUGACGACUUUUAGUCGGCGAGGCAAUUUUUGACGGUCUCUACGGAGA